GUGCCUACUAUGGCAGCACAUAUACUAAAGGAAUGAUACAGAGAAGGUUAGCAUGGCCCCUGAGUAAGGAUGACAUGCAAAUUCGUGAACUGUUCCAUAUUUUU
ensembl:snRNA U6 U6 spliceosomal RNA